ACCACAAGAGAUAAUUUUGACUCCUUCCAUUCCCCAAACAGCAGAUGCCACUUAAUACUGCAAACUGUUUUGUAACUCAUAAUUUCAAAAGCAGUGUGUGGCAUGAGAGAGAUAUGUUUAGAUCAAAUCCACAGUACGCAUUACUAGAGUCCUGAUCACUGGAAAAACUGGUCCUUAAUAUUCAUUAGCAAAAUCAAAAUCAUGUGUUUCGGUUUUUCAUUUUUGUAUACAGCUUUACAGGAAAGUUACUGAAAACAGUAAGUCCAGUUGUGCAACAACAAGAGAUUUUGUCAUUGGAAAGCUAUGUGUACUCACUGUACACUUGUUAUUGACUGAAUUCACAUGUCAAUAACAUUUGUAGACAUGUAGAGUCCUUUCUAACUCUCUCCUCUUCCCUAUAGCUCAAGAACGAAAGAUCACUGCUUUAAAUGAUGUAAGCUGUGCAAUGUCCCUGUUCUUAUAAAGCCUCUUCUAUAACCAAUCACUAGAGUUAAAUUCCUGGAUGACAUCAUGAGCCCUGCCUAUGAAACUUUUGUUAUUUUUUCCCUCCACCAACUUCAGUUGUUCCCACAAACUCGGUGACGGAGAAGCCUUGUAGGUUCCCAGAGCAUAUCAUCACAUAUUUCAGAAAUCACUGGCUAUUGAGGUGCUGGACAGCCAAAGCUCAGGAAAAGCCAAGAACUGAAGAUGUGAUAUACAUCUGUCAACCUUAAUUCACUGGCACUGAAACUGAACAAACUCAAAACUGCGAUCACAAAUUCUGCUGCACACAUAAAAAGUGCAAGAGACGCCUACAAUGGAUCUUGCAGCAAACAGAGGCCUCAACCUCCUACUCAAUUUUCUACUCAUUUUCCUGGUUCUUGUUCUCAUGUACAUCCUUGUAAAGCUCAUGUGAAUUUCUCAUUUUGUUUGAACGUUUACUAUUAAUCCACUAUGGUUACUUGAAGCUUCAAACUUUGUGAACAGAAACACUGAAACAAACAAAACCCAGAAAAAUCCACAACCUACAAAACUGAAGAGCGGGGGAGCAUUGAUUUUAUUAGACAAAUUAAGAACAUGGAUUUGCUGGUGUGCAUUAUUUUUGCACCAGAACAGAGCAAGACUGUACUUCACAAAAACUACCCCCUUACAGUAUAGAAUAACUGCAACAUGGUCACCAGCAGAAAUAAUCAAUACUAUAUAUUUACGUAUCUACCAAAGAAUGGUUAGACUGUGGACUUCUGAGAUUACAGACUCUACAAGUAGGACACAGAAAAAAAAAACUUAGCCCAAAAGCUGCAUCGCAACAACCUGAAAUACUGAAAAGUAAUUAUUAUUAUUAUUUUUUACAUGCAACUAAUCGUUUAAAGGAAGAAAAUAAUGACAGCACAUUUGUUUGAAGCAAACAUGGAAGUUCCUGUGACUUUUAUUUGGGUAUGAGGGCAAACAAUAAUUAGAGGAGGUAAGGUGGCGGGGGUAGGAAUACAGCCUAAUUGUUUGCAUGCUUAUUCAGAAGUAUUUCAGUGUUUGAUGGGCCUUACUCUACCCAAAAUUACUAAGGAAUAAGACCCAUGAAAUGCAGUGGCACUUACUUACUAGCGAACAUGCAUAGGUGUACACUGUUAAUUAUUCUGAACACUGAAAAUGGGCCAAUGUAUUAUUCAAUUAUAAUGUGUUAGUCACAACAUUUUUAGCAGAACAAUAUGCUCCCAUUUAGUCUCUAGCUACACUAGUCUUUCAAGCCACAGAAUUUCUGAAGGACACACUAUAGCAGUGGAUUGAUAUGGCUAGAAUUCCAGAGGGAUAGCCAUGUCAACCUGUGGCAAGAAAAAACAAGCGAAGUGUCUUUACGAUGACACAUGACUCUCAGAUGCUUCUAUGAUUCUUUUACUUGUGAUGCUAUUUUUUGUGAAUAUACAGUAAUGUGGAAUCAAAUGUUCAAAGAGACCUUUAUGAAAUUCAGAAUGCAUAUGUUUCUUCUACACUUGCUUUGCCUACAGUUCUGUUUUACAGAAUAAACUGCUCAGUGAAUUUACUAUAGGAACUUUAUAUGUCUUUGGGCACCUUUUUGAGAUAUGUCUGUCAGUCUGCAUGCCCACCUUCAGAAGUAGAAUGGCUGGCAAGAACUACAGUGGUACCUCGGUUUAAGUACACAAUUGGUUCCGGAAGUCUGUACUUAACCUGAAGCGUACUUAACCUGAAGCGAACUUUCCCACUGAAAGUAAUGGAAAGUGGAUUAAUCCGUUCCAGACGGGUCCACAGAGUACUCAACCUGAAGCGUACUUAACCUGAAGCGAACUUUCCCAUUGAAAGUAAUGGAAAGUGGAUUAAUCCGUUCCAGACGGGUCCGCGGAGUACUUAAACUGAAAGUGCUCAAACCGAAGCGUACUUAAACCGAGGUAAGACUGUACUACAUUAAAUGGAAUAGCCAAUGGAAGCUCAGCAAUUGCAGAGAUUACAGUAUUCAAAUGUCUGUGAUACCACAUAUAUGUUGGAAAACAACUAUAGACUUCUUGUAUACAUUUCAGAAAUCAGACAUUGGCAAUCACAACAAAAGAGAUUGAACAGUCUGUUGCAAUACCAUUUUAUUUAGAUUCUCAUAAGUUUUCAAACAUGGGAAUAUUUCCAACAGAAAGACCAUUCAAUCCUGUAACAGUAGAAUAGAAUUUCUGCAUAUACACUGAAAGCCCUAAUGUUCUCCUGCGUUUAACCUUGAAAGCAUUUUACCUAUGUGUUUAAUUCUUUUUUUAAAAAAAAACAUCCUGAACUUCUAUUGUCACCUUCCUGAGAAUUCAAUUUACCCUCAGCAUUCUUAGAAUUCCACCACUUUGGUUCCCAAGAUCUGGUUUGCAAUCUAACUCUUACCUACAAAGGCACAAGCCAAAAUAUUUAACUGCUCAAUUUUAAGUCUCUCUUUUGCUUUAUCAGUCAGUUAUUAAAAGUUUAUAUGAAGUCUGUACAGGUCUUUCCAACUUUCUGCAUACUGUUGAGGUCCUCUGAGAUUGAUAAAAAGUCCAUAUUUAGUGGGAAAGCUACACUCACAUAUGUAAUAUAUACAACAGAUAUCAGAAAUGUACUGACAGUAUUGUAUCUUACCAGUGUUAAGAAUUUCACUAAUUUAAUAUACAGAUAAAUGUAUCAAAAGUUUAAUUUUGCUAAAGAAUGAAAAAAGAUUAUACUUUGUUGUUUUUGUUUUUUCCUUUGUACCUAAUUGAGACAUACCCAAUAAAUCUCCAAUUGUAGCCUUGGGGCUAAGAGUUUAA